rnacentral:rRNA from 1 species
CCUACGGGAGGCAGCAGUGAGGAAUAUUGGUCAAUGGACGCAAGUCUGAACCAGCCAUGCCGCGUGCAGGAAGACGGCUCUAUGAGUUGUAACCUUCUUUUGUACGGGGGUAAACGCAGAUACGCGUAUCUGUCUGAAAGUAUCGUACGACUAAGGAUCGGCUAACUCCGUGCCAGCAGCCGCGGUAAUACGGAGGAUUCAAGCGUUAUCCGGAUUUAUUGGGUUUAAAGGGUGCGUAGGCGGUUGGUUAAGUUAGAGGUGAAAUCCCGAGGCUCAACUUCGGAAUUGCCUCUGAUACUGUUCGGCUAGAGAGUAGUAGCGGUAGGCGGAAUGUAUGGUGUAGCGGUGAAAUGCUUAGAGAUCAUACAGAACACCGAUUGCGAAGGCAGCUUACCAAGCUACUUCUGACGUUGAGGCACGAAAGCGUGGGGAGCAAACAGGAUUAGAUACCCCAGUAGUC